GGUUCAUUGGUGUAGCGGUUAUCACAUCGGAUUUCGACCGGGCCUACAUGCGCCGACAGACUUUACGACGACCCCGGUUCGAUCCCGGGAUGGGCCC